rnacentral:rRNA from 1 species
CCUACGGGAGGCAGCAGUGAGGAAUAUUGGUCAAUGGGCGCGAGCCUGAACCAGCCAAGUAGCGUGAAGGAUGACUGCCCUACGGGUUGUAAACUUCUUUUAUAAAGGAAUAAAGUGAGGCACGUGUGCCUUUUUGUAUGUACUUUAUGUAUAAGGAUCGGCUAACUCCGUGCCAGCAGCCGCGGUAAUACGGAGGAUGCGAGCGUUAUCCGGAAUGAUUGGGUUUAAAGGGAGCGUAGAUGGGUUGUUAAGUCAGUUGUGAAAGUUUACGGCUCAACCGUAAAAUUGCAAGUGAUACUGGCAGUCUUGAGUACAGGUGAGGUAGGCGGAAUUCGUGGUGUAGCGGUGGAAUGCUUAGAUAUCACGAAGAACUCCGAUGGCGAAGGCAGCUUACUAGACUGCAACUGACAUUGAUGCUCGAAAGUGUGGGUAUCAAACAGGAUUAGAUACCCUUGUAGUC